rnacentral:lncRNA from 1 species
GGGAAAGGGGGGAGGGCUAGGAUGAAAAAUGCUGUCCUGUAUUUUUCUUUGAAUGUUAUCUCAAUGUAAGUGUAGUCCUGCUUUUUUUUAUUUUACACUCUAUUCUGUCCUGCCCUGCAUUUCUUAGUUAAUAAUUUAUCCUGACUUGUUUUACAUAAAGUCAUCAUGCCUUUUCUUUUCGGCAAGAUGCACAUACUGCCUUUUUUCUCUAAACUCCUGUCAUGCCUUUUUCAUACAAGACUAACAAAGGCCAGAGGCUCCUGACUUGGGAUAGGCGCAAAAUUGCGGCGGGGUUAAACAUGUUUAUGAGAUCUCAACCCUCCCCUAAUAAACGCAUAACAAUACGCACAUUAAAAUUCAGUUCAAAAGAAGUUCGAGUCCGAUGUGAGAAGAUGUAACAAAAGAAAAUAAAUAAAAUGACAUGAGAAUGAUAAUUAGAAAUAAAAACCCUUAUAUUUUUCUU